CGCGAGGGCGGCCGGCCGGAGCGGUUUCAAACUUAGAAAACCGCGCUCUGAUCGCGGGAGCGGACGGACUCGUGCCGCCUCGGGUCCGAUUCCCCGAGCAGGUGUCAGGCGCGCGGGUGCUGCCGUGCCGGGCGCUCAGCCCGUAGCGGUUCUGACGAGCGGCUGGGUAGGGCUCCGGGGGCUGCAGCCACCGAGCUCAGUAACUUCGUUUAAAAGCAGUACAAACAGGCGCGUUUUCCCGAUUACAGACAAGCAGAGUUCUUCAGAUGUGCGUUGCACUUAAGAAGGAUGCGUGUGGCCUUGCGGGGUUACACACCGCCUUCAUAGGGAUGAAGCAGAAGUGCGGAUGUGGCCGGCUGGAAUGCUGGCGCUGCUGACAAGGACUGGUGAUUCGGAACCCUCUUCCCAAACCUGUUUCCCACUUUUUAUACAUAAGCGAUGCACAGAACGCAAGUUUAGGUCGCGGUGUAAUUGAUUCUCCUCAGAGCGCUCAGUCGAGUUGCCUGUUUUGAGUUCCACCCGAAUCCAUUGGCAGUGUGGCUCUCAGUACCUGUUCUGACACAGCACAAAAAUAAACUGUUUUAUGGAAGCAGGAAGGCUUGGUAGUGGUAGGACUUUGUGCGUUUGCCUAACAUGCUGUUGCAAGGACAAUCAGCAUGGAAAACCAGGACUUCGAGCUCUGCAUCUCUGCUUGAUCUUGACUUGCUGGGUGAUACGAGGAGCUGCUUCCCAGAUCCUCUUGAUUUUGUUUGAGAAGUUAGAAUUACCUGUAAUCAUUGGUAAACCAAGAGUCCCGAACGGAGAAUAA
rnacentral:lncRNA from 1 species